ensembl:lncRNA
AAAUGUAGGCACUGAGGCAUUUAAAUUAGUGUGCUUUUAAUACAUUCCUUACACCUUGCACACCUCCUGUUUAUGCUUGUGGUACUGGAGGGAGGAUCAUGGAAACGCUGGAUGUUAUAUUCUGAGCUGAUAUGUUGCUAGAGGAGGAGUAAACCAGCAAGAUUAAACUCCCCUGUAACAAUGCUAAUGUGAAUAACCACAGGUUGCCCACACUAAAUUAUGUGAUCCUUAAAGCUGCACCUGUGACUGAUAUAGUCGCCUGGCCUGGAGUGUCAAGGAGAAGCAGCUGAAUGCUAGCCUGUUAUUUGCAGUGUGCCAGUGGCUUCAGAAAAUGCCUGGUUAAUCAUUUGUCAGAAGGCUGGGCUGGGCUUUGACUCCAAUACCCUGACUGACAAUGCACUACCAAGUCCAUCUUGUGUGCAGAGUAAUCCACUCACCAGCUACAGCUGGGAGCCUUCAUGUGUUCCCCAUAGAAUAUACUUGCUUGGCUAAUUGAAAAAUAUUUUUGCAUGAGAAUCAAACAAGAGGCACUUCUGUGGGAAACUGCGCUCUUCUACCUUAAUAAUGCUGGCUAAUUGAUAAUUGUGGAGAGUAGGGUGGUAAUAUGUCUUUUCUCAGAGACACUCGGAGUAGGACUGGGAAUAAAAACCCAUAGAGAACUCUUGAUUAGAAAACUAUGAGAAGAAUUUUGCUCUGUUGUAGUUUAUAGCCAUGCGCUUCUGGAUGCACCAAUUUCUUAAAUUUCUUUUGACAAGAUGGGGAACUGAGUGCUUUGGAUAAUAUGUUGAAAUACAAGACAAAUGCAGAUAAGACCCCUCUAGGAUGACCACAAGGUCAUAUUUCUGCCACCCCUUACUCUGUGUGCUUCCUGUUACUUACUGGAUGUGUGCUGAGGAACAUAACAAAAAGGUGAAGGAAGCACGUGUGAGGCUCACAGUUGCUAUCCUGCAACAGAUCUCUCUUCUCUCACAGACAAGAAAUAAUGGUGUGUUAGGACUAUGCGUUUCCAACCAGUUGUUGACAUAAAACUUGAUUGUUUUACUUUUGCUGGUGCCUAGGGGAAAGACAAAGAUUGCAACACAUGAAGCAGAC